rnacentral:tRNA from 1 species
GGGAGCGGUUGGGUCCCGGUGGGUCCCCUGGUCUUCAAAACCGGUGGCGCGGCGCUCGACGCGGCGUGGUGGGUUCGACUCCCAUGCGCUCCCGCCA